AUUGAACGCUGGCGGCAGGCUUAACACAUGCAAGUCGAGCGGUAACAGAGAGAAGCUUGCUUCUCUGCUGACGAGCGGCGGACGGGUGAGUAAUGCCUAGGAAUCUGCCUAGUAGUGGGGGAUAACUUGCCGAAAGGUAAGCUAAUACCGCAUACGUCCUACGGGAGAAAGGGGGGGACCUUCGGGCCUUUCGCUAUUAGAUGAGCCUAGGUCGGAUUAGUUAGUUGGUGAGGUAAUGGCUCACCAAGACCGCGAUCCGUAACUGGUCUGGGGGGAUGAUCAGUCACACUGGAACUGAGACACGGUCCAGACUCCUACGGGAGGCAGCAGUGGGGAAUAUUGGACAAUGGGGGGAACCCUGAUCCAGCCAUGCCGCGUGUGUGAAGAAGGUCUUAGGAUUGUAAAGCACUUUAAGUUGGGAGGAAGAGCAGUUAACUAAUAUUUGACUGUUUUGACGUUACCGACAGAAUAAGCACCGGCUAACUUCGUGCCAGCAGCCGCCGCCG
rnacentral:rRNA from 1 species